rnacentral:rRNA from 1 species
UACGUAGGGUGCGCGCGUUACUCGGAAUUACUGGGCGUAAAGCGUGCGCAGGCGGUUUUGUAAGCCAGAUGUGAAAUCCCCGGGCUUAACCUGGGAAUGGCAUUUGGGACUGCAAGGCUGGAGUGUGGCAGAGGAGACUGGAAUUCCUGGUGUAGCAGUGAAAUGCGUAGAUAUCAGGAGGAAUACCGAUGGCGAAGGCAGGUCUCUGGGCUGACACUGACGCUAAUGCACGAAAGCGUGGGGAGCAAACAGG